CCUAUAAAUCUACUUUUAUUCAUAGAUUUUAACUGAUAUAACGUUAAAUGCCAUCAAAGAGGAGUAGUGUUUUGUAUUUUUGUAGGUUUUCUCUUUCAAUUUAAUAAAUAAAUGCUCUGUUUGGUUAAUUAGCUCAAAAGCAGUCUCAGAGGUGGUCUAAGGUAACGGUAACUGUUAAAAUCGAAUAUAACCUUACCUAGUUUAAAUUAUUUGAAAUUUAUCACUAUAAACUAUACAGUGUUAACUUUCUAAUAAUUUAAUUUUUAACCGUAGUAACGUUAAUUAGUUUGUUUGAAUACCUGCUGCUCGAGCUUGAUGAUGCUCAUGCUAUCCAUGCUGUGAACUUGAAUAUAAACCGAUAGAACGUUAAAUAUAAAGUUUAACGUUAAUUAGACCGAGGCUGCCGAAAUCAUGUUCAGUGUAACGUUAUGUGGGAUUAAUAAUUUCCCCUUUUCUCCCUCAAGUGGCAGGCUUGUAAAUUCUGUCAUCUGUUCAUUAUUGGUGUUGAUGGUGUUUUUCACAUGCAUGCUUUUUAAUGCUAGUUUAAUUCUCAAAUUGAUCUGAUACUUUCGUUCCACAAAAAGUAAACACAUUUUUCACUUUCUUAGGGCCUGACAACCACCAGUUGAGUCCAUGAUUCAGGGAAGAGACAGUCUGGGCAGCAGCAACAAGACAACUAUUACAAGUAGAGAUGGGUUUCAAGAACUGGUACUAAUUUGGUUCCUGACUUGUUCAGUACUGAAAACAUUUACAUAAGGUACAGGAUCAAUAGUGCUGCUAUCAGUAUUCUUGUAACAUUGAUUCAUUACCCUUUAGACACAACCACAUAUCCUCCAAAUCAUCUCUGCGUGGAUGGCAGCAAGGAUCCAGGAUCAAGAGAUCAUUCAUCAUGGAGACUGUUCCACAGGAAGCAGUUUCUCCUGGGUCAUCCUGACCAUUCUGCUGUUCUGGAUGUAAGGCCGUGCUGCAACUACAUUUCUCGUGGUUGAAAGAUUUGUGGAGCGGUAUCCAGACAUAUAACGCCCCAUCACACGGGGCGUCAACGCCUCUCGUUUACUUUUAAAUGAAGUGACGUCAAGGAUGGUGAAAUUAAUUCUAGAAAUUAAUUCUAAAUAGAAGUUGAAGACUUCUCAAGCGCCAAUGCAGCCGUCCUCCAGUCAGA